GACGAACGCUGGCGGCGUGCCUAAUACAUGCAAGUCGAGCGAAUCAUGAGGUGCUUGCACCUCUUGGUUAGCGGCGGACGGGUGAGUAACACGUGGGCAACCUGCCUGUAAGACUGGGAUAACAUCGGGAAACCGGAGCUAAUACCGGAUAAUCCUUUUCUUCUCAUGAGGAAAAGUUGAAAGUCGGUUUACGCUGACACUUACAGAUGGGCCCGCGGCGCAUUAGCUAGUUGGUGAGGUAACGGCUCACCAAGGCGACGAUGCGUAGCCGACCUGAGAGGGUGAUCGGCCACACUGGGACUGAGACACGACCCAGACUCCUACGGGAGGCAGCAGUAGGGAAUCUUCCGCAAUGGACGAAAGUCUGACGGAGCAACGCCGCGUGAGCGAUGAAGGCCUUCGGGUCGUAAAGCUCUGUUGUUAGGGAAGAACAAGUACCGGAGUAACUGCCGGUACCUUGACGGUACCUAACCAGAAAGCCACGGCUAACUACGUGCCAGCCGCCGCUGUAAUAC
rnacentral:rRNA from 1 species